rnacentral:rRNA from 1 species
UACGUAGGGUGCGAGCGUUGUCCGGAAUUAUUGGGCGUAAAGGGCUCGUAGGCGGUUUGUCGCGUCGGGAGUGAAAUCCACUGGCUUAACUGGUGGCUUGCUUUCGAUACGGGCAGACUGGAGGUAUGCAGGGGAGAACGGAAUUCCUGGUGUAGCGGUGAAAUGCGCAGAUAUCAGGAGGAACACCGGUGGCGAAGGCAGGUCUCUGGGCCACUACUGACGCUGAGAAGCGAAAGCAUGGGGAGCGAACAGG